rnacentral:rRNA from 1 species
AGCAGCCGCGGUAAUUCCAGCUCCAAUAGCGUAUAUUAAAGUUGUUGCAGUUAAAAAGCUCGUAGUUGAAUUUCGGGAUCAAUAUGUUGGUCGUGCCUUGGUACGUACUGGCAUUAUCGAUUCCUACCUUCUGAAGAACCUCGAUGUCAUUAAUUUGGUGUCUUGGGGAAUCAGGACUGUUACUUUGAAAAAAUUAGAGUGUUUAAAGCAGGCUCGCGCUUGAAUACAUUAGCAUGGAAUAAUGAAAUAGGACGUUUGAUUCUAUUUUGUUGGUUUCUAGGAUCGACGUAAUGAUUAAUAGGGAUAGUUGGGGGCAUUAGUAUUCAAUUGUCAGAGGUGAAAUUCUUGGAUUUAUUGAAGACUAACUACUGCGAAAGCAUUUGCCAAGGAUGUUUUCAUUAAUCAAGGACGAAAGUUAGGGGAUCGAAGACGAUCAGAUACCGUCGUAGU